rnacentral:rRNA from 1 species
AAUAUUGUACAAUGGGCGAAAGCCGGAUGCAGCAACGCCGCGUGAGUGAUGAAGGCCUUCGGGUCGUUAUGCUCUUUGAUCAGGGAUGAUAAUGACAGUUCCUGAAAAACAUGUCACGGCUAAAUACGUGCCAGCUGCCGCGGUAAUACGUAGGUGACGAGCGUUGUCCGGAAUUACUGGGCGUAAAGGAUGCGUAGGUGGAUACUUAAGUGGGAUGUGAAAUCCCCGGGCUCAACCCAGGAACUGCAUUCCAAACUGGGUAUCUAGAGUGCAGGAGAGGAAAGCGGAAUUCCUAGUGUAGCGGUGAAAUGCGUAGAUAUUAGGAGGAACACCAGUGGCGAAGGCGGCUUUCUGGACUGUAACUGACACUGAGGCAUGAAAGCGUGGGUAGCAAACAGG